GCAUCGAAAUCUGGGCAUGAUUUUAUGCAAAAUUUCGCGUUUGAAAACAUUUUGUCCGCGGCUGGAGAAAGUUUUUUUGCGAGAAAUAGUCGUGUUCAAAAGUUUAUUUUGCGAGAAUUCAAAGAAACUGCAGUCCUUGAACAGUUUGAACGUUUUGUGUUUUCCAUUUGGUUUGCUGGAUGUCGGCGAUCGAUGGAGUUUCGCGUCAAGUACUUGUAGUUAUCAAUAGGCACGGCCGUUUUCGUGGGCGCUCAGGAACAAAGCGUGUUCAAUCUUCUUCAGGUCAAGCUUCUUCAGGUCGUGUAGUUCUAACUUCCAGCUCAGAUAUGCCCUUUUCUCAGUCUCGCCUGCCAGUGAAGACAAGUAAACCUGCAAGAUUGUCCAGAGCCCAGCUACCAGUGAUACAUGUACCAGUCUCAGAACGCAGGUACAAUCAUCUGGUGUUGGCAUUUGAGAGGAAUCAGGGAACUGGCAUCCUUGGAUUAUUGCACGAACCGGGUGGCGAUGGGCGUGUGCUAGUCACAACGAGUUCUGCUAUUGCAAAACGCAUAACACAUCAUCUAGCAUCUGGAAGACCCAACACCAACACCCCUAUUUUACACACUGCUCCAGACCGCACAAGUACUCCAGCAGCUGCAGGAGGUGCAGCAUCGUCCCCACUUUCUACCACUCGUGAUGAUGCUGCAGUUAUCUGCUCAAACAUUCACGUUGUGCUGCACACUGGAGGCGCGAACUCACAAUACCAACAGUGGCUGCUAGCCAUCGCAUCCAGCAGUAACCAAGCAACUCAAGUUGCUCAUUGAAAGCGUUAUACUUAUAAUCCGUUGUUUUGUACAUUGAUAUACCCAUGCAUGUAUGUAUGUAUGUAUGUACAUUAUAGUAUUAUUAUUAUUAUCAAAUUUUUGAUAGGGCAAUCCCCACAGGCCUAGGCUAAGGCCUUCUUACAGGGUACCCUAGAAAAUGUAUGUACAUACUCACAAUAUACAACAAAGAUGUGAAUAACACAAUUCAGUUGUGACUGUUGCAUGGGGUAUUGUCUGGGAUUGGUCUAUAGCAAAUGCUUCUCGCCCUACAUAGUCAAAGUGAAGCUUGAAUGAAGUCGAUACACUCAUUUUGUCAACAAUGCUGAAUCUGACUUUCAAGUUGAAUAUGCAAAAUCCGUCACAAAUUUUGUUUCUCACGGAGAAACGAGAUGGUGGACAUAAAAAUCUAUUUUUGUAGAGCCUUCCUAUGGCCUUGAAGAGCAGAUAAUGACCAUAAAAUGGACCAUGUUAUUGUCUCGAUUCUCCACUAUUCAAACAAGUCUAAAGAUCGGUCUGCUGAAAUACGCGUUUUGCCAAAUCACAUUCUGGGCUACCUUGGCCUCUCACAGUGGUCUGGUCAUAUGUUGUGGACAUUUUCCAAAGGAGACAGUAUUGUAGGCCCCUCCAUACCCACUUUCAGGAUUUUUGAAGCAUUACCAACUGGAAUUUUACGCCUUUAGUGAGAAAUCAUUGAAUUUUUGCCGAAAAACAUAGGUACAAUAACACCCCCAUAGCUGGGGAACCACAUAAUAAACCUAUCCUUGAAAUAGCCCAGACCAGUUCUCUAGGUGUCUGGCCAUCUGAAAACACACAGUUCAGAUCGAUUUACCAUAAUAUUUUUUGCUCCCUCUUCGGGGUUGAGCCCCCUUAAGUGCCGAAUCAAGUCCGGAAAGGGUAAAUGUGGGAGGGUGGUCUAGUUGAGGGAGAAAGACUAUUUCUGUUUUCAAGAUAUUGGGUUUCAGACGCCAUGACAACAUCCAUUUAUGAACAACAUUGAUUCCAUUCUGAAGCUUCGUACACAGGUUUGCAAUGUCGGCGUCAAACUGAAUGAGGGCUGUGUCAUCAGCAAAUAGUGACAAACCAUCUAUACAGUCAGGUAGAUCGUUUAUAUACAACAAGAAUAGUAGAGGCCCCAGUAUAGAUCCCUGGGGGACUCCCGACUUCACAGGCAGUGGGUCUGAGAGUACCCCUUCGACUGACACUGAU